GGUGUCUCCAACUGCAUAGCGGACAGUCGAAUUUCAUCUCUUCUGGGGAUUCAACGCUCACAAUAUGCAUUAAUCUCCCCUUCACGAAGCACGCGCGUCUUCCGAGUCCACACAUGCUUCUAGACGCGCGGUUGAAAAAGCCAAGACGCGACGGGGUGGUGUGGAGCGGGAGGCUCUCCUGAGGAAGAAAUUUCCUAGCCGCUACACGGCGCUGUGGCCUCCAGAAGAAGAAGCUGGGCGUCUUUCUUUCCCGCCUCUCCUCGACUUGUGCGUAAAGGGAGGAGCGAGGGCGAAAGCGGGGUAGUUCUGCUCUGCGCAGCCGGAGGAAGCGGGGAGAGCUGAGCGCGCGGCUGAGAGCCCCUGCCGUUCGCUAGCAUGUCAGUAUCUCUUCCCGCCCCGUCCCCGCUUAAAGCGCUCGCGGAGCCGGGCUCGCCAUCAUUGCACAGCUGGGGAUGCGCCCGGGUCGGAAGAGAUGGUGCCGGGGAGGUUACGCCCGGUUGAAAUCCCCUCCAGCGGGAGGCAGGGCUCUCCACGGGGCGACACCCCACAUUCUCUCGGGGCGUGGGGGGGGGGGCAGAAUCGCGUGCCCGAUUUUAGGGUGGCCCCUACGAGCGGGGGGUGGGGGACCGGCCCGGCGGCGGCUGUCCUGUGGCAUCUCGGAGGAAGCAGGAGGCUGUGUCCAUAAAAGGGCUUGGACCUCUUCUGGCAAGGAGGAGAGGCUUCUGCGGGAAGCGGGCGAGGACACCCGCCCCUCCCUCGCUCCUGGGAUCCAGCUUAGUGACUCAAGUUAAAGACUUGCAAGAGUUUCUUAGUCCAGUAUUUGCGCGCAGGCACGAGUGAGCGAGAAAGAAAGGAAAGGGGGAAAUAAUAUUAGAUGCCCGCUUCUCCUUAGGGGGUGCCUCCUGGAGAGCGGCCCCCGGAGAGGAAAGGCCUGCUUUUAAGGAAGGGAGCGCCCCGGCUGGCCGCCCCUUAGAUCGGUGGGAGGCGGCGGGUUUCUAGCGCGCUGGCAGGAACUUUGCUGACACCUUGCGUCGCUUCUUGGAAAGCUCUUUCGAGCUGCGAUUCUGCCCUAGGGGAGGCGGACGGGGGACGCCACUCCCCCGGACUAGGAGCCAGAGAAGGGGCUGCCGGCAGUUGCUUGGAGCAGAAAGAGCGAAAGGGAAGGGAUGCAGCAGGGCUGACCAUCGACCUCAGCUGAGGUUGCAGAGCCACUGCACAAUGACUAACAUCCGCUCAGAGUUCAAAGGUGGAUUCCCCAGGGAACUGAAACAGAAUAUUCCCGCAGGUGCACACGGGACAAGGCAACUAAGUGCUUCCUCCCUAAUAUCUAACCCACCCCAUUACUGAAAUAGGUCGCUCUUGUAAUCUAUCCAUAUUGCGCUAGAGGGGCUGUAGCAUCCUUGAAUUAUAAUAAUGAGUCUCAGGAGAGAGGAGUACCAUGUGUGUUGCCAGUGCAAGGCACACUGCCUCCUCUAUCAUCCUUGGAUUUGCCUUAGGCAGGGCUGGAGGAUAUGACUUUGGGCAUCAGCCGUUCAUUAACCAGUACCUCUGCCUCUCAGCAGUGAACCCAUCCCUAAACCCUGCAAUGUGUAGGUGGCUUUUUAUUGGAGUUUUUGUGUUCCUUUCACUAGGAGGAGAUUGAGAACCAGUGUGCAAUUCAGUUCUCUUUACAUAUAGAUGUACACCUGAGAGGCAGCAAUCCUAUAUACUUACUCGGCAAUAUUCUGACUAAGCAUGCAUAGGAUUCGAGUGCAUGUGUGAAUGAAUCUGAGUUUAAUUCAUGUAGUUCAUUAAAAAAAAAAUUUAAAGGCAGUGCAUGCUAAGGCCUUGAGGAGGACCAGGCAUUCAUUUGGAAAUAAGUGGGAUGUGAGAAGCACUGGCAUGAACUCACCUUUCCUCAGCAUUAAGUUGUUUAUAGAAGUGACCUUUGGUCUCGACUCUUCCUGUGGCUGAAAAUGUUUUAUUAGGGUUUCCCUGCGCUUUGGUAAUUUUAACUGUGAUCUAUUGACUGUCCUCUCUUUUGGGUCUAGACAGUGGUUUUUGCAGCAUGACUCUUGGGCAGAAUAACUAGUAGAGAGGGUUGGGGAUGGAAAUUCCAUAAACAACACUGAUGCAUCCGUUCACCCAUGGGAAAGAAUGUGUUGUUGGCUGGCAGAUCCCAAUUUUACUAAAGAGGGCCAAGCCAUCUCUUGAGACUAACCCAACCACAGGUACAGGCAUUCAGGACUUGAACUGUUUCUCUCUUGCGGAGACCUAGUUCUGAUUCUCCACUGCCCAGUGCUUUGGAUGAAGUGCAUGUAAACUGCUUGCAUAAUCAGGAAAAAAUAAUAAUAUGUGAAAGGGACUCAUAAGUGCACCAGUACUAAAGCUUUGUAUUAUUAGGUCCCUUCCAACACUACAUUUAUAUGAUUGUAUGAUUAUUAUGUAUUAAAUUUGUAUACCACCCUUCCAUCUAAAGAUCCAAGGGUGGUUCACAACAGUAAAAGACAAAAUGAAAAUACCAAAUCAGAACAAACCAAUGAACUCCCCACCUUCCACAACACUUAUAAAAAGCCAUAGAAUGUUAAUCAGUUGAAUGCCUGGUUGAAGAGAAACUUUUUUGCCUAGUACCUAAAAAUAUGUAAUGAAGGCGCCAGGCGAGCCGCGCUUGUAGAAGAGGGUAGCCUACUGUGAUACCAAUGAGGCCAAUGGACACUAACUAGGGAAGGUAUGGCCAAAUAGCCUGUCUGUUGAAGCUACACAGCCACUGUCCCCCACAUCCUUAGUGGGCUGUAUCCUAGUGAGUGGGUUGCAGGCACACAAAUUUAGGUCCAUUUGAAAAGGGGUUUGUGAGUGCUCCAAAAUAGGAUGAACAUUUCAUUUUAUGCUUUUGUAAGAUUCUCCCUUACAAAAAAAGGGUAAUUGCAGUUCAGUGAAAGCAAAUGUAAAGUGGGGCAAAUACAGUGGUACCUUGGUUUGCAACCGUUUUGGAUUACAACCACGUCAAACCCUGAAGUGUGUGUCCCUUUUUUUGGAUUACAACCUUCCCCCCCCUUUUUUUAUUACAACUAUUUUUUAUUUUUUUUUGAGGCCCCAUUGGCGAAAGCACGUCUUGGGUUACAACCUGUUUUGGUUUACAACUGGACCUCCGGAACGGAUUAUGGUUGUAAACCAAGGUAUCACUGUAAAUAAAUCUUAACUUCACAUACAUGCUCAUGGGAUCUGAAGUGGGGUUGACUGAGCAGAAGCAAGAUUUUGGGGUCAUUGCUGUUAGCUCAACUAAGAUGUUGAGCCAGCCUGCAGCAGCUAUGAAAAAGGUGAAUUGCAUGCUGGGUUAGGAAAGGGAAAUAAAACUGCCAAUAUUGUAAUGUUGUUAUACAAAUCUGUGGUGCAGCUACACUUUAAAUAAUACCGUGUACAGUUCCUUCACCUCAAAAAGAGUAUUGUAGAGCUGGAAAAAGUUAAGAAAAUGGAAGCCAAAACUGCUCUACAAGGAAAAGGUAUAACAUGUGGGGCUUUUUUUUUUUAGCAUAGAGAGAAGGUGAGUAAAGGACAGAUGUGAUAGAAGUGUAUAAAAUUAUGUACGGGGUAGAGGUAAACUAAGAGAAGCUCUUCUCUCUUUCGUAAUACUAGAACUUGGGACUGUCAAUGAAGUUUAAUACUGGAAGGUUUAGGGCAGAUAAAAGAAAGUACUUCUUCACAUAACACAUGAUCCAGUACUGUAUUAGAAAAUCAGAUAAAAGCUAUGUGCCAAAUGUAAAAACCAGGGUUACAGUUGCCAAAACGGAAUGCCUAGUUACCAUUUUUGGGCCACAUUGGCUUGAAAGACAUAUCGUUCACCACGACUUUUUGGUUCCUGAAAUUCAUUCUGAUUGUGCAGAUAAAAUAUAAUGGGUAUAAUUCUACAGGAUGUGUUGCUAUUGUGUGAAAACAGGCAAGACCCAAAGAUCCCCAGGCAUGCACCUCCAGAUGGUGGAGACAUCAGGCGCCAUCCUGGGGGCUGGACAUCUUCACUUGGUCGCAUGUGAAUUUUGAACACUGGACACGCAUCUUUAAACUAUGGAAUUUUAGCCCCCUAGAUAUAGUGAUAGCCACCAACUUGGAUGGCAGAAGUUGGUUGUAACUCAGCCCCAUAGAAAGCACUGAAAGGGGGCUUCAUUAUGACUGACUUUAAGACUACAUUCUUGUACCCAAUUUCUUGGGAGUAAACCCCGUUGCUCAAUGAAUUUACUUCUGAGUAGGCAUGUAUAGGAUUGUGCUGUCAGUGCCUUUUGUCCAUUGAGGCAUAGUCACGAUUCCCUUUUGCUUGGUUAUGUUUCCCAUCCGACAAUGGGUAAACAGCAGUUCCAGUUAUUCAGAGCUCUAUGAAUAUAUGAAUGUUUUCUGUGUCCCUAAAAGGAAUAUGACUGUUUUCCAGGAGUUAGGAUCUGGAAGGGAAUUGAAACUUAAUUGGUAUUUUUAAUUCCAUUGCAGGAAAAGCUGUGUUGGGUACAUUAAUAGUGGUAGGAAACAGACUACCGCAUUGCCUGUGGACAGUCUAACCACCUUGUCUUGUCCCCAGUUUCAUGAGUUUUGUGACCUUUUACCAAGGAGUGUUUGUUGGUAGCAGGUGCGUCCCAAAAUUACCUGGACACAGAGCAGGUUUGUUUCCUCCUUGUGUUGCACUAUGUGUUGACACUGGAAGACAGCACAGGAGAACAAGGCUCUGUGCUUUGAGACCUUGUAAACAACAUCCUUCCUGUCCUUUCUGGAGACCGGGCAGGAUGAAUGUCUUAAUGGCAAUGUCCUAGUUCUGCCCAGUGGAUUCCCUGGCCUCCUCACCCCACCCCAGUAGGCCUGGUUUCCAUCUAUUACUCUAGUAACAUAAGCUCCGUUUGGCUCUGUAGACAUUGAAUAAGCCGAAGUUUAUAUGUUCAUAGAACUGGUGUGUAGGUAUAACAGCUUGGAAACAUGCCUCUAAUCAAGAAGGUAAAGUACCUGUACUAGCAAAAGGGGUUUUGUGCUGUGGCAAGAAGGCAUAGAGAACUGAAAAUCAGAGGUGGGGAAUUUGUGGUCCUCUAGAUAUUGCUGGACUCCGACUCCCUUCAUCCUUGACCAUUGGCCACACUGGCAGGGGCUGAUGGGAGUUGGAGUCCAACAUCUGGAGGGCCUCAAGCCCCCCCUCCACCCCU